CCUACGGGGGGCUGCAGUCGAGAAUCUUCCACAAUGGACGAAAGUCUGAUGGAGCGACGCCGCGUGAUUGAUGAAGUCCCUUUGGGACGUAAAGAUCUUUUAUGAGGGAAGAAGUUUAUUGACUGUACCUCAUGAAUAAGAGGCUCCUAAUCUCGUGCCAGCAGGAGCGGUAAUACGAGAGCCUCAAGCGUUAUCCGGAAUUAUUGGGCGUAAAGGGUGCGUAGGUUGUUUUGUUAGUCAUUUGUUAAAUCCCCGAGCUUAACUUGGGGUAGGCGAUUGAAACGGCAAAACUUGAAAGUGUGAGAGGCGUACGGAACUUAUGGUGUAGGGGUGAAAUCCGUUGAUAUCAUAGGGAACACCAAAUGCGAAAGCAGUACGCUGGCGCAUAUUUGACACUGAAGCACGAAAGCGUGGGUAGCGAAUGGGAUUAGAUACCCCAGUAGUC
rnacentral:rRNA from 1 species